ACACUCCUGCGGGAGGCAGCAGUGGGGAAUUUUGGACAAUGGGCGAAAGCCUGAUCCAGCAAUGCCGCGUGAGUGAAGAAGGCCUUCGGGUUGUAAAGCUCUUUUGUCAGGGAAGAAACGGUGAGAGCUAAUAUCUCUUGCUAAUGACGGUACCUGAAGAAUAAGCACCGGCUAACUACGUGCCAGCAGCCGCGGUAAUACGUAGGGUGCAAGCGUUAAUCGGAAUUACUGGGCGUAAAGCGUGCGCAGGCGGUUUUGUAAGUCUGAUGUGAAAUCCCCGGGCUCAACCUGGGAAUUGCAUUGGAGACUGCAAGGCUAGAAUCUGGCAGAGGGGGGUAGAAUUCCACGUGUAGCAGUGAAAUGCGUAGAUAUGUGGAGGAACACCGAUGGCGAAGGCAGCCCCCUGGGUCAAGAUUGACGCUCAUGCACGAAAGCGUGGGGAGCAAACAGGAUUAGAAACCCUGGUAGUCCCAU
rnacentral:rRNA from 1 species